rnacentral:rRNA from 1 species
AGUUCGGAUUGUAGUCUGCAACCCGGCUACAUGAAGCUGGAAUCGCUAGUAAUCGCGGAUCAGAAUGCCGCGGUGAAUACGUUCCCGGGUCUUGUACACACCGCCCGUCACACCAUGGGAGCCGGAAAUGCCCGAAGUCAGUGACCCAACCGCAAGGAGGGAGCUGCCGAAGGUGGAGCUGGUAACUGGGGUGAAGUCGUAACAAGGUAGC